UUAGCAAAUCUAGUGUGAACGAACCAUCAAUGCAAGCUAUUGAGUAUGAGUUUCAAUGAAGGAAAUUGACGAAAAAGGUUGGAGAUGGAGUAACGGAUACUGAUAAGGUCAAAUUCUGAGAUAGCUUCCAUCGAUGGUUCGGUCACAUACUUAUUCUAGGGCAGAUUCAUUGGCUAUUGAUGCAGAUAAUGCACAUACGAAUUUGGCACCGGGUAAGUCCCUUAUGGCGCUUCAGGAGCAGUGAGCAAAACUCCCAUAUCAUAUCAAACUAAAUCCUUGAAAGUUAAAAAAAAAAAACAAAUACUAACUACUCAAAUCUAUAACUCAG